rnacentral:rRNA from 1 species
UACAGAGGUCCCGAGCGUUGUUCGGAUUCACUGGGCGUAAAAGGGUGCGUAGGUGGUGAGGUAAGUCGGAUGUGAAAAGCUCCAAGCUCAACUUGGAAAUGGCAUUGGAAACUACCUUGCUAGAGGGUUUGAGGGGGGGACUGGAAUACUUGGUGUAGCAGUGAAAUGCGUAGAUAUCAAAGUGGAACACCAGUGGCGAAGGCGAGUCCCUGGAAAACUCCUGACACUGAGGCACGAAAGCUAGGGGAGCAAACAGG